CCAGGGAGUCCGCGUCCCCGUCGCUCGCACCUGCAGUGGCCUCUUCCCUCGUGGAGGACGCUCUUAGAGCCGGGAGCGGGGCUGGACACGGACUCAAUGGUGUUUGAGGAUGUGGCUGUGGACUUCUCCCCAGAGGAGUGGGCUUUGCUGGAUCGUGCUCAGAGGAACCUCUAUAGAGAUGUGAUGCUGGAAACCUUCAGGAACCUGACCUCAGUAGGAGAAAACAGGAAAUGCCAUGGCACUGAAGAUCAGCCCAAGAACUAGGGGACACAAUUGAGGCUUUCUGAAGUACCCUUGUAUUUCUGGGCACCACCCCAGCUAAGCACUGUACCUGUUUGGGAUGAGCAAGAUACAGUUUGUGCCUCCAGGGAGCUCACAGCACUGGAAGAACAGAUCAGUCGGCCAGCACCUCUGAACUGCCCUCAGUCCAGCAGGAGCUGCCUCACCCAGGUGCACCCACCCCCUUCUCCGAAGUGCAGAGCUGGUGACUGACCAGCGCAGGGUGCAAACGUCAGCCCCUUUGUCUCAUGGUGGAGUCAACUCAGUGCUGUGGUUCUUGCUCCAGAGCUCCUGUGGAGAGGCUGAAGCCAGACUCCAGCUGAGCCCACGUCUCCUGUCUUUCCCUCGCUCCCUUGCUCCCCUUGUCUGGAGAGCACCCCUCAGCAAAUCACCUGCACUGGAUCCUUGCCUCAAGCUCCUUGGAGCUUCUUGGGACUUGGCCUGGCACUGACAGUCUGCUGAGCUCCUGAUCCAGGCUUCCCCUUGGACAUUGUCUGUCAUGCCUGGGCUCCCUGCUGUGGAGCCCAAGGGAGCAACUCUUGCCCCUGGCCCAGGCCCCCAGAUCCCUGGGAUGGGAAUGGGACCCAGAUUCCUCAAAUCAUUAAGCACCCCAAGCCCUCACCUGAUCCCCCCUCCCGGCCAGUGUUGGUACGUCAUCUAGACCCUGUUCUGCCCUGUGAAGCUGCUGCUCUCUGCUCAGCUUACCCUCUGCUCUCUCGUUGCACAAGCUCCCAGAGGCAGGGAUGGCCACUGGGUGGUUCCUGCAGCCCCAGCAGUCAACAUGGGCCCUGCACGCAGUAGGUGUUCAAGAAGCACUUAAGGAACUGAAUUUACUUGGAAUGAGAAACAGUUACGUCAGUGACCACCAAAUAAAGCAGACAGUAGAUGGCCAAAGUGAAGGGUUCUGCAGGGGCCACCAGGACCCGGGAUUGGGAAGUUGGAGGAUCCCAAAGGGAGGCAGCUGCUAAUCACCUGCGCGUGCCCAAUGUAGGGCUGUGUGCCCUCUGCAGACUCUCAUUAAAUUCCUAAAACCUUC